rnacentral:lncRNA from 10 species
GAAAACCACCAGAGUCAGGAGCUUGUAAGGUCCCUGGCCAAGGAGCUGGAGAGGCCAGGGGCCAGGACUUGGGUUUGAUUUCCUUAGUCUCCACAGUGAACUGAAAUCUGAAGUUGAUGCUAUUAAGAUUGUCCCCUUGCCUGGAGAGCAAGAAGGGCAUCCAAGACAGUGAACGUGGCUCCCAGGAGUCCUACCCAGUUCCCAGAAGUUGCCUAUUCCUCAAGUAGCCCUUUUCAUUGCAUUCUGAUGGAGGCUGUCCUGAACAUCUGGAAUGAGGGGACCAAGUCCUAAAAUUUGGGCUUUCUGAAGUCUGGCAGACUCAAACACAAAGCAAAAUGCAACUACAAUCAUCUCCACAUACCAGGUUAUAGGCCAGGACAGAACUUCUGACCCUGGCCUCAACAUCACAGACCUCUGAUGGAUUUGUAGCAGCAGCAGGGAAGCCCAGAAGACCAUAUGAGGAGCCAGAAGCACAGACGGG